GCCCUGCUAGCUCAAUUGGUAGAGCAGAGGACUCUUAAUCCUUUGGUUGCAGGUUCGAGUCCUGCGCGGGGCACUA
rnacentral:tRNA from 1 species